UACGUAGGGGGCUAGCGUUGUCCGGAAUCAUUGGGCGUAAAGAGCGUGUAGGCGGUCCGGUAAGUCCGCUGUGAAAGUCGGGGGCUCAACCCUCGAAUGCCGGUGGAUACUGUCGGGCUAGAGUGCGGAAGAGGCGAGUGGAAUUCCUGGUGUAGCGGUGAAGUGCGCAGAUAUCAGGAGGAACACCUAUUGCGAAGGCAGCUCGCUGGGACGUAACUGACGCUGAGACGCGAAAGCGUGGGGAGCGAACAGG
rnacentral:rRNA from 1 species